AGAGAGCUAGAGAUGGAAGACAAAGACACCCUCGAUCUCAGGCAGGUAUAGUUGAAAGCACAAAGCUGCUGCUAAAGGCUUUGACAGACUCGAGUGCAAGAGCAAGCGGGAGGGUAGGUCAAGCUCAAGUGCCUUGGAGGUGCCGUCUAUGCCUACGUCGUCGACUAGCUCUAGCUCUACGUCUGCUUCCCAAACCCAAAGUGCCUCGAAGUUGGAGAUGAACAAACUCUUUAAUUGGAGCAUAGAUAGUGUAGAAAGGGAUUGGAAACGGGAUCACGUGGGCUUAUCAAGUGUGUGUAAUAAACGCAAAGGCCAGCGGGCAGUCCAGGCUUCGAUUAACGCAGCUAAAUUACGCACGUUCAGAGAUACCAAAGACAAGGUUUUCUCCUAUUCUUGGACAAAGGGUUGGAGAAUGAAUACCUGGACGACUGGGAUAGGGGGAAAAAUCUGUUUCUAGCCGUAAGGAGCUUAAGAUGCUGUAGUGAUGCCACAAGGACUGAAGUUUACAGUCAGUCAAAUCAUUCAUUGACAUGGUAGGGGACCUGUUCAUCCUCCUUGGCGCAAGUGCCUUUCUGAGUGAGCGAAUUGGCUAGAACCCUCUCGAAGUGUUUAACUACAUUUCUAUUUGAUGCACAUAAUUAUUUUUUACGUGUGAUCAAACAACCAUAAUUAUAAUUAUGAAUCGAA